rnacentral:rRNA from 1 species
UACGUAGGGGGCGAGCGUUGUCCGGAUUUAUUGGGCGUAAAGAGCUCGUAGGCGGUUCGGUAAGUCGAAUGUGAAAUCUCCACGCUCAACGUGGAGGGGUCAUUCGAAACUGCCGUGACUUGAGUACGGUAGGGGAGUGUGGAAUUCCCGGUGUAGCGGUGAAAUGCGCAGAGAUCGGGAGGAACACCCGUAGCGAAGGCGGCACUCUGGGCCGAUACUGACGCUGAGGAGCGAAAAGCGUGGGGGAGCAAACAGG